UUUUUUUUUUUUUUUUUUUUCCCCUCAUUCGUUCACUUGAAAUCAGAUUCUGGAAUUUGUCCUUGUCAGUAUAAAAUGAAACCACAAGACUGCUUCCAAGAGAACUGGCAAGGAAGUGUGCUAGAUAUGCAGAGAGUCAGAAAUCACUGACUCCUGUUGUGUGACCUUGUGGGAAGCCCGUUCUCUCAGACACUCCAACUCAUUAACUUCAGAACUGGGAUUCUGCAAAGGAGCCAACAGUUCCCUUUUCUGUACACAGACAUCUUGAUCUUAGAAGUCAGCUCACCACCCUCCUGAUAGACAGCUUAGCACAGGGGAAAGAACAUAGGUUUCUGUAUUAAACUCCCAGACCCAUGGCAAAUUAGUCUAGAUCUGGCAAACUUGAGUUCACUUAGUUUUCUUCCUGCAUAGCUAUUUGGCUUGGAACAAGUCAUUUAACCUGGCUAAGCUGCUGCUGCUGCUUUUUCAUCUUCAAGAUGGAGAUGAAUAUUAUCUAUUUCAAAAGGUUAGUAGAAAUUAUAAUAAGAUUAUGCAUGUUAAUAAGUCUUGAAUAAAGUAUAUGGAAGUUUUCUCCCUUCUGUUCCAUUGCCACAUUAUUUCCCUAAGGAUAACUUUCAAAAUGAGCUCAUAGAAAAAAAAAAAAAAAAAGAGGAACUAAUACAGAAAUGCUUUAAGAAGAAAUUUAAAAUAUCAACACUUACUUUCACGUCCCUAAUGCCACUACUUACAAUGACAUUUCACACCCAAGUUAAUCAUCAUCAGUGGCUCAGCCCAUAUUCUUCCAGACUUUUUCCUUAUACUUACAAUAAUACAUUCAUUUAUUAUGAUUACUACCAUUCUGCAAAUACUACUAAGGACCCUUCAGUUGUCAAGCACUACAUAUACAGGAGGGAAUAAGACUAAGCAAGAUAAUAGGCAGCAGGAUUUUUUUUACUGACACAGGAAAAACAGGAAGAACACAUAGUUACCAGGCUAAAUUUUAAGUGUCUGGGAUAAUUAUAAGUUGUAAAUUAAUAUAAUCUUGCUGAAAGACAAGUUAGGCAUUCUUCAAUCAAAAGCCUUAAACAAAAUGUUGGAAUUCUGAAAAGGUAAGUCAAUUGCUAUAAAUUUAUCCCAAAUAACUGGCUAAUAGCACAUAAAGGACUUCUGUGAGAGCCUCAAUCUACAUGGUGCCAAAUGACUUUAUAUAUAAACCAGGCAAAUUGUUGUUACUGAAUGAGAAGAGAAAGUAUUUUUAACUAAAUAGUGUCACCAGAACAGCUGGAUCAAAAAGACACAAAAUGCUAUAUAAUAAAAGGAACACUAAAGUCAAAGGAAAUUAAAAUUCUAAAUUUAAAUCUGCCUUGGAGUAACUUCUGAAAAAUCCAUUCAUAACUGUGUUACAUUCCUAUCUGUCAAAUUAGGCAUUCAUGCAGUUAGAUUUUAAGGGGGCAAAGGAAACUGGUUUUUCCAGGAUGAGGCAACCGUAUUUUACCUGCACAGUCUCUAUUUUAAAACAAGCCAAAUGAAUUUAAACACAGCCUAUACACCAGCAUUGCCAACUAAAUUUUAAUUUGUAACGUUCAUUUAUAAGAUUUAUAAGUAUAUUAAAAAGUAUGUAAUUUUGACAAUAAUACCAAAUCAAUAUUUUUAUUUAUCACAUUUACCACAGACGUCAAUUGAGAACACAAACAAAACCCACUUUACAUAGUUAUUUCUGGCUAAUUUUUUUUUUAAAUCCCACUGUGCAUCUUUAUUGCUUUAAAUAGUGGUUUUGCUUUAAAUAAAAGGUGUUUCCUAUGAAAGCUUCCUCAAACUUUUAAGUUUUAUUGAGGUAGAGUUGAUUUGCAAUGUUGUGAUAAUUUCUGCUCUACAACAAAGUGAUUCAAUUAUACAUACACACACAUCCAUUCUUUUUGAGAUUCUUUAGAUUUACAACUGACCCUAAUUAUGAUUUUGGGAAUCGUGUUCCAUAUAACAAAAGACAUAAAAUUAAAAAAAGGCUUCAAUGAUGGAAUAAAUCUUAUGGAAAAUGGUUCAGCAGCUCAUAGUCAAAAGGUCAAGAUCUUUUCAGGUGGUGAAUCAUUCUUGAGUCUGCGAAAAAUCCUUUCAAUAGAAUGGUGAUUUCCAUUUCUCUCUAAUUAGACAUCUACAGCACAUUACACUAAACCUUUUCAUCAGCUGUGAACACAUUUGCCAAACCAAGGAGUACAGUUAACUUUUGUUGUAUGAAAAUUGACUCUCUUCUCAAAUCAGUUCAACCUCUGUAUUUCUUUGUAUUAAUUGUGUCGGUUUUCUAUUGUUUCCUAACAAAUCAAGGCAAGCUUAAUGGCUUAAGCAACAUUCAUUUAUUGCCCCAGAUUUUCCUUAUGUCUGAAGUCCAUUGAACAGAAGAUGUCAAUGGAAUAAAUAAAUAAAUAUAUAUAUAUUCCAUAUAUACACAAUGGAAUAUUAUGCAACCAUGAAAAGAAUGAAAUAUUGCCAUCUGCAGAACACGGAUGGCCCUAGAGUUUACCAUACUAAGGGAAGUAAAAAAGGGCAGAAAAAGACAAAAAUAAGACAUAUGUGGAAUAUUAAAAAAUAACAUAAAUCAACUUAUUUAAAAAAUAGAAAUAGACUCAGAUAGAAAACAAACUUAUAGUUACCAAGGGGAUAAAUUAAGAGUAUGAGAUUAAUACAUAUACACCAUUACAUAGAAAGAUAAAUAAGGAUUUACUGUACAGCAAAUUUAGCUAUAUUCAAAAUCUUGUAUCAACUUAACAAUGGUAAAGAAUCUGAAGCUGUACACCUGAAAUCAACACAAUAUUAUAAAUCAACUAUUGUUUAAUAAUUUUUUUAAAAGCUUCCUCCUUGAUAAUAACAGGAAAAAAAUAAAUAAAUAAACCCAACACACACACAUACAAACACAAGUUUUCUGCUCAAGUGCAUUAGCCAAAGUUAGUCACAUGGCCCUGCUGCCUAACUUCAAAGAACGUUUGAACACAAGUACCAUCCUACCUUACCUUGAAAGGAAGAAGCGAAAUAGAAUAGUGAAAUUGUUGGUGGGAAUGUAAAUUGGUGCAGCUACUAUGGAGAACAGUAUGGCAGUUCCUUAAAAAAAUGAAAAUAGGCCUAGCAUAUGAUCCUGCAAUCCCACUCUGGGCAUCUAUCCAGAGAAAGCCAUAAUUCAAGAAGAUACACCCACCCCAAUGUUCAUAGCAGUAUUAUAUACAAUAGCUAAAACAUGAAAGUAACCUAAAUGUCCACCGACAGAGGAAUGGAUAAAGAAGAUGUGGUAUAUAUAGAGUGGAGUACUACUCAGCUGUAAAAAGAAUGAAAUAAUGCCAUUUAUAGCAACAUGGAUGAACCUAGAUAUUAUCACACUGAGACAAAAACAAAUAUGAUAUUGCUUAUAUGUGGAAUCUAAAAAAAAAAAUGAUACAGAUCAACUUAUUUGCAAAAUAGAAACAGACUCACAGAGAGAGGAAACAAACUUACAGUUACCUAAGGGGCAGAGAGUGAUAAAUUAGAGUUUGGGAUUAACAUUUACACAUUAGUAUAUAUAAAAAUACAUAACCAAAGACCUAGUAUAUAGCACAAGGAACUAUAGUCAAUACUUUGUAAUAAUGUAAAGAACUUGAAAAAGAAUAUCUAUAUCUAUCUAUGACUCACCUUCCUGUACACCUGAAAUUAACACAUUGUAAAUAAACUAUAUUUCAAUUAAAAGCAAAAAAGAAAACAUGAGUCUCUGUAUACAUCAAGUUAUGCUGCAAUAAAAAAUACCACUUGAAUGACUUCCAGAGUGUACAAAUUGUUUUUUUUAUUCAAAAACAGAUACACAGUCUCUUAUUUUCUUCGAGCCAUUUCCUACUGUGCUCUGAACACCAUCCUCCUAGCUACACAGCCCAAGACCUGCCAGUGUGAAUGCACGCCUUGUCACCGGGUUCCUGGUAGUCACCCAGCUGAGAAACCUACAGACUCUAAAGCCUUGCACACUGCUGUUCUCCAACUUUUUCCUCGAUGACACUGUGGGAUUAAAGAAAUCUAUACCAGUUUUUUGAUCUCAGGAAUACAGUAACAUUAUAGAAAAAAGUAAAACAAGAAGGAGACUUGCUGUCCAGUGCCACACAGCACAUGACACUGUGCACUGCGAUCUAUGCUGAGUGGAGGGAAAAGCGUGAUUUUCUGGGAAGGCCAGCUCAUCUCUUCCCAAUCUGAAAUAUGAUACAAUAGCCACUCAAAGGAAAAUGGAUUUGCUGAACGUUACUCAACCAUUCCCCACGCAGUUUGCUGGCAACAUACCUAACUGAAAUUGUGAGAAAUCAAUGAGCUUUCCUUAUAGCCCUGCUUACACUGGCAGGAGUAAAGCAAAGCAUCAGGGGGAUUACUAGAGCUUGAACCCAGUGAAUGACUCCGAAGAAAAGAAAAGGUGUAAAAGGAAGUUUUACUUUCUGAUGAACAGAUACAAAUAAAAUGUGUGGAGUCCUGUUUCCAUUAAAGACAAAUCUCAAGGCAAAUAAUUCUAUCUUUAAAUUAUAUUUUAUGUAAGGUCAUCACUUCGGUUUAAUCAUUUUAAACUCUGAACCAUGCACAGAAUUUAAAAAAAAAAUCAAACACAGACCUCAUUUUGAUAGAUAGCAUGUUCAUAAGAGGUAUCUAUAAACAUCAAAAUAUAAAUUAUUUCUUUUUCUUUUUCUUUUUUGCCCGUACCCAGGGCAUAUAGAAGUUCCCUGGUCAGCAACAGCAGCCACCCAAACCACUGCAGUGACAAUGUCAGAUCCGUAACCUGGUGUACCACAAAGGAACUCCCUGAAACAGAAUUUCUUAAACUGUGGUCUGUGCACCACCUUUACCAGAAUUACCUGGGGUGUUUGUUUGAAAUGCAGACCCCAGGGCUCCACCUUCAUAUUUCAACAGCCCCAGGGAAGAUGUCUUCAUGCUAAUGUUAGAAAUACUGUUUUAGGAGGAAGAUGAGUUGAAACCAGGGUAAAACAAUUUUUAGAGACAUGAGCAUCAGGAGGAUAAUAAUACCUCAGAGAAAUUCUGUGAGGAUUAAAUGACAUGCUGUCUGUAAAGCUCUUACAACAGCACCAUACAGACUCAAUAAAUGUUAGUACCUUCUUCCAGACAAUAAGGACUGGUGCUCUGACACAAGACCCAAAGUUGUCACAAAGCCAAAUGUCAAUGGGGUGAAGAGACUCCAUGAAGAGAUACUUCAUCAAUGUAGUCAAAGAUGUGGGAAAAGUAAAAUUACAGUUUGAAGAACACACUCAGAAGGGAGGAGGUGUUCUAUGUUUAUCAAUCCACCUUUUCUUGAAUCUUUCAUUCAUCGUGCUGUGCAUCGUUUCCUUAAAGAGGUAUUUUAGUAUUAUCUUGGAAUUUUACACUUAUAAUAUGAAUUCAAUUCAGAAGUUCAAUUUCUCUAUUUGAAAGCACAUGCAAAAAUUUUUUUAAAAAAUUAAAGAUCGUAAACCUGAGACAGUAGGUUAAGGAUCUGGUGUUGUCACUGCAGCCACCUGGGUCAUUGCUGAGGUGCAGGUUCAAUCCCUGGCCCAGGACGCAUGCUGCAGGUGCAGCCAAAGUAAAAAUUUGAAAACACACAUAUGGUACAUAAUUUGAAAGACUUUGCCAUAAUCAUUUUUGACUCAGGUGGAAUUCUGUCAAAAUUUCUUAGAUUAAUUUUGAGUGGAAACAUAUAAAAAUCAUAUCACAAUAUGUUAUACAAGUAGGACUGCAUCAUGCCUGAUUAAAGGAUAUAAAAAACAUCACGUAUACCAUGUUUAAACAUUCUUCAAAAAAAAAAUCAUAUUUGUCUCAGACGAGUGUUUUUGCAUUCCUUUUUU
ensembl:lncRNA